rnacentral:lncRNA from 1 species
CUGGUACAUACAGCUGCAACCACAGCCUCCACUGGCCAUAUUCUGUGUGCUGGUUGCCGGUUUGUGUGAUCUUGAUGAUGGAACUCAAAGGUAUUACUAUUGGAGGCUAAUUUUGUUGUCUGUUUUCCACAGGAGAGAUUUAAAUGUUUUACAAGAGGGGAGGUUAUUUUACCAUGUACAGUGAGGAAAGAAAGUAUUUGAUCCCCUGCUGAUUUUGUACAUUUGCCCACUGACAAAGAAAUGAUCCGUCUAUAAUUUUAAUGGUAGGUUUAUUUGAACAGUGAGAGACAGAAUAACAACAACAAAAAUCCAGAAAAACGCAUGUCAAAAAUGUUAUAAAUUGAUUUGCAUUUUAA